GCUGCGACGGGCAAUUUCACACAUCGGAGCGUCUAAACGGCAGCAAAGGGGAGCUGUUAAAAGUUUCGACAAUUUCAACAGUCGUAAGUUAUAGAAUGUGAUCUAGAGAAAAGCCAGAGGUGUGUUGAAUCGGCAGCUGUUGGAUUACUGACUUAAAUAUCUACAACAAACUCUGGUGCUCACAGGGAGCUGCAACAGUCCCCAUUAUGGAUUGGAUCAUUACUGCUAAAACAAACCGCCCUUGUUUUGCCGGUUCUGGCUCAUACAGGUCAGGCCAAAUAAGCUAGAUACUCUGUUAUGGAUGACAGAGCUGCACACGCCCCUGCUGCUCCUGUGGCUUCUCCUCUGUGUCCUUCAUGCUACUGGAGAUAUGUGGGGAAGUCCUGGAUCAGAUCUAAGCUCGGCCUCACCCUCACCACAUCAAGCCCUCCUGAUCUCUUCUGCUCUGGGAUCCUCCCUUAGACCGGCCCCCCUCCUGCACCCUGCUCCGACACGUCUCAACAGUCUCCCAGUCCAUCUGGCUUUCACAAGUUUGAAUGAAUACUGUUAACCAACUGCUAUCUCUGUGUUCUCUGACCCGCCCUAACAAAACCCACCUGUGAGUGUGAAAUUGUAACUCUCUCCGUGGCCAAUAAUUGUCAAAAUGUCCAAACGCUAAUAUCAACUUUUCAAAUUUUACCUUACCUUUUGUUAUGUUUUGUAUUUAUUUUCUCGUUUAUGCUCAGCACAAACAUACCAGAGCAAAAUCCCCUGUAUGUGUAAACCUAUAACAUCUGAUUCUGCGAUGGAUUUAAUGGUAAAAUAAUAUCCUAUUAUUACAAAAAAUCGAUCACCAAAGGUCUGAAAGGUUUCUGUUGAUUCUGAUUAGAUGUGCUGCUACCAAAAGAACCAAUUGACUGAAUAGCAUAAUGUCACAUCACUCAUUUGCCAUGACCAGUGCUACAAAUCACCACAACACUGAAAGCAAGUUCUGUACAUGCAGUGAAUAAAAUCUGUAUUUAUGAUAAAAUAAAAACAUCACCUUAA